rnacentral:rRNA from 1 species
UACGGAGGGGGCUAGCGUUGUUCGGAAUUACUGGGCGUAAAGCGCACGUAGGCGGCUUUGUAAGUUAGAGGUGAAAGCCCGGGGCUCAACUCCGGAAUUGCCUUUAAGACUGCAUCGCUAGAAUUGUGGAGAGGUAAGUGGAAUUCCGAGUGUAGAGGUGAAAUUCGUAGAUAUUGGGAAGAACACCAGUGGCGAAGGCGGCUAUCUGGACGGUUACUGACGCUAAGACUCGAAAGCGUGGGGAGCAAACAGG